rnacentral:rRNA from 1 species
UUUCCCAAGAAAAUAUUUUAGGUAUGACCUGCUCAAUGCUUUGAGAGUAAAUAGCUGCAGUAUUACUACUGUACGAAGGUAGCGUAAUCAUUAGUCUUUUAAUUAGAGAAUUGUAUGAAUGGUAGAACCAGACUGGAUCUGUCUCUGAAAGAAUCCAAGAAUUUGGAGUCUGGGUUAAAAUCCCCAGAUAAUUUGGUGGGACGAGAAGACCCUGUAGAUUUUUAUUUCUGAUUUACACUAAGGUGUUUACAUGAAAUUUACCUGGGAAGGGGGAAUAAAACAUCUUUUAAAGAAUUAAUAAAGACUAUACAAGUCAAAUAUUUGAUCCCUAAUAUUGUUAGGAUAAUAGGAAAAAAUACCUCAGGGCUAACAGCACAAUCCAAGUUCUUUGAUCUCAAGGGAUACUUUGGGUUUGUGACCUCGAUGUUGAAUUGAGAUCUGUUUUAGGGAGAAGAAAAUCUAAAUCUCAGUCUGUUCGACUGUUAAAAUCU